rnacentral:hammerhead_ribozyme from 1 species
AUCCAGUUGAUGAGUCCCAAAUAGGACGAAACGUGCGUCCUGGAU